rnacentral:tRNA from 14 species
GCCCGGCUACCUCAGUCUGUAGAGCAUGAGACUCUUAAUCUCAUGGUCAUGGGUUCGAGCCCCACAAUGGGCG